rnacentral:rRNA from 1 species
AUGCACGCUGGCGGCGUGCCUAAUCCCUGCCAGUCGAGCGAACGGACGAGAAGCUUGCUUCUCUGAUGUUAGCGGCGGACGGGUGAGUAACACGUGGAUAACCUACCUAUAAGACUGGGAUAACUUCGGGAAACCGUAGCUAAUACCGGAUAAUAUUUUGAACCGCAUGGUUCAAAAGUGAAAGACGGUCUUGCUGUCACUUAUAGAUGGAUCCGCGCUGCAUUAGCUAGUUGGUAAGGUAACGGCUUACCAAGGCAACGAUGCAUAGCCGACCUGAGAGGGUGAUCGGCCACACUGGAACUGAGACACGGUCCAGACUCCUACGGGAGGCAGCAGUAGGGAAUCUUCCGCAAUGGGCGAAAGCCUGACGGAGCAACGCCGCGUGAGUGAUGAAGGUCUUCGGAUCGUAAAACUCUGUUAUUAGGGAAGAACAUAUGUGUAAGUAACUGUGCACAUCUUGACGGUACCUAAUCAGAAAGCCACGGCUAACUACGUG